UACGUAGGGUGCGAGCGUUAUCCGGAUUCACUGGGUUUAAAGGGUGCGCAGGUGGGAAUGUAAGUCAGUUGUGAAAUCUCUGAGCUUAACUCAGAAACUGCCAUUGAUACUAUGUUUCUUGAAUUUUCUGGAGGUCAGCGGAAUAUGUCAUGUAGCGGUGAAAUGCUUAGAUAUGACAUAGAACACCAAUUGCGAAGGCAGCUGGCUAGAGGGAAAUUGACACUGAGGCACGAAAGCCUGGGGAUCAAACAGG
rnacentral:rRNA from 1 species